rnacentral:lncRNA from 1 species
CCCUGUACAUUCUCUUAGACCCUACAAUGAAGUGCAUAAAUAGGUGCUAGAGUUUAAUACUCAACUAGAAGAAGAGGAAACCAUAAGAUCAGUUUUGAGCAAUUUCAACAUGCUUUCUCUUGGUGUGUCUUUGUUUCUUUAGGCUCUCUAGAUAUGUAUCUCUAAACUUUUCAAAGUCUUUUAGUUACCAACAUAUUGAUCAAUUCAAAUAAGGUGCUAUCAUGGUUAUUCAUAUGGUAGUUUUGAAGGAAAUA